GCCAGAGUGGCAUAGUGGUUUUAGUGCUGGACUGUGGAGACCAGGGUUCAAUUCCCAGCUCAGCCA